rnacentral:rRNA from 1 species
GUAGGGAAUAUUGGGCAAUGGAUGCAAGUCUGACCCAGCCAUCCCGCGUGCCGGAAGAAGGCCCUCAGGGUUGUAAACGGCUUUUGACGGUGAAGAAUCGACAGGAUGCGUCCUGUUUUGACGGUAGCCGUUGAAUAAGCACCGGCUAACUUCGUGCCAGCAGCCGCGGUAAUACGGAGGGUGCGAGCGUUGUCCGGAUUUAUUGGGUUUAAAGGGUGCGUAGGCUGGAAGGUCAGUCAGCGGUGAAAAGCUGUCGCUUAACGAUAGUCUUGCCGCAGAUACUUCCUUUCUUGGAUGAGGAGGAGGCCACUGGAACGGAUGGUGUAGCGGUGAAAUGCAUAGAUAUCAUCCAGAACACCGAUUGCGAAGGCAGGUGGCUGUACCUUAAUCGACGCUGAUGCACGAAAGCAUGGGGAGCAAACAGGAUUAGAAACCCCUGUAGUCC